AUGUGCCACGUGGACAGUGCGGUGCUGAGCGCGCCGCCCACGCCUGCCUGACGACUGCUCGCUAGGUGUCGCCAGCG
rnacentral:sRNA from 10 species